CUGACCUCGUGAUCCGCCCGCCUCGGCCUCCCAAAGUGCUGGGGUUACAGGCGUGAGCCACCGCGCCCGGCCAAGAAUGACUUUGUAAAUCAGUGUUGACAUUCAGGACCUUUUUCAUUUCGUGUUAAAGACUGAUCACCCUGGGAAAAUCAAGGCAGUCCAGCCAAACCCCAACUCCCAAUCAAAUGCAGUUUGUAUCGAACCCCACGACUGCCCAGCACCUUUGGGAAGCCCAUUGCUUUCUGUGCAGACGCAGAGCUCCCAGAAAGCACAGUUGAAGAGAUGAAGGCACAGAGGCAUGAACUCCCGUAGCCAGAGAGUGUGAGCUGGACUCUACCUGGAGCAGCCUCGGUGCAGAGCCCAUGCCCCCAACCAUGUCCGUGGUCGAGGCCCAGCCCAGACAGGGCACCAAGGGGCUGAGGAAGAGGAAGUAAGAUGCCAGGGUUGCCAUGCAGGAGGGCAACCCCGAGUGAGAUGGGCAUCGUGGCCUAGGGCCCACCUUCCGGAAGAGCUCAUCAGAACUUCGGACACACUGCAUGGGCCUAGACCCAGGGCUUGUUGAGCUCCUCCCUCGGAUUGGCUUCGAAUUUUAGGUGAAUCCUCUCUAGCGGCCAUAUUCACCCUUGCAAGCCUGCACUUUGUCAUCUUCUGAAAAGGUGCAGGAACAUGAUGCCCAGCUGACUCCCAGGGAGCGGGAGCCCCAGAGGCCAGCGGAGCACAGCCGCAGCAGGCAGAUCUGUUGGGAAACCACAGGAGUAUAGGAGCAGGGCUGGGGGCACCUGAGGGCCUGUGGAGCCUGAAUUAUUGAAACGCUUAGAGUAAAGCAGAUUUAGAUUUCACAAAGACAGAGGUGAAGGUGGGUGAAGACGGAGGAAAGAUAAGAAUGAGGGAGAAAGGGGAAGAGAGAAAGAAAAAGAGAAGUAGAGUUAUCGAAGAUGACUGCAAGUCUGGCCUCUCUCAACCCAAGGAGCCAAGGAGGGGAAGGCCGGCCUGAGCAGCAAGGUAGACAAGAGCUCAGGAGCUCAGGCGGGCAGGGACAGAGCCCUGGCUUCAGCAAGAGCGUGGGGAACAGAGGGCAAGGGGGUCCAUGCAGCCCAGGAUGGCAGGGUGCUCAUACACACAGCCUUGGUCCUGUCCCCUCUCCCAUUGCCGCUUUUGAGCUCACCUUGUUUUAAGGCCAAAGCACACAUCAUCCUCCCACAGAGCCACUAAUGCAAUUAACAAAACACAUUCAUAAAUCUUGCAUGGUGUCCGGAGCUGUCUCCUCUCCCUAAGCACAAAGGCCAGCUCCGGAGAUGCUGUGCAGAGAGCUGUCUGACCUCUCCAGCGUCAGGGCCCCCUGAAAAGCGCAGCAUAACCCUUAGUAGGACAAAAAGACCAUUCUCUUCUGCCAACCAUUACAAAGUGGAGUGGGGCUGGGGUUAGGAAACACAGACAAAUCAGAAGAGGCUGAGAAGGCGGAGAUGAAAGUGCAUAGGUGUUUGCAGGGAGCUGGGGAAUAGUUCGUGCCUUCCAAGCUCAACAAGAGAGCAUUCAGCAGAGACCAGAGAAUCACCACUUUUGGAGGGUGAUUUUACCUUGUGAGAACAGAGCACAGGGUGUGUGGGACCCAGGGCAUCUUCGGCAAUGCAGGCGUGACCUGGCGGGAUGUCGGUGUUUGUGUUUGCAUGUGUGUGUGCGUGCGUGCAUGCUCAGUCUGGAAAACUGGUGACUCACUAAAACACCGAGCUUUCUGAUCUGAA
rnacentral:lncRNA from 1 species